CCAUGGCUGUGAUGAUAAACAUUUUCAGUAAACAUGCCAGUUCUGCUUUUGAAAAACCAUGACUGAAAAACUUGUUAUCGCAUUUCUUAGCCUUUU
rfam:Hordeum vulgare subsp. vulgare, WGS project CAJW01000000 data, contig: morex_contig_158707